UACCCAAUACACAGUGAAUAAAUAUUAUCUGAAAGUCAGGUUAUUGUUGUUUAUCAGCACAAUACAAAAAGAUUUAUGUUAGACAUAUUCCAGUUAAGACUCUAGAAUAUCAUGAUUUAUGUAAAUUUACCUCAAUAAUAUAAAUGUUCAGGUUAAGAUUGUGCAGUGAUAUUUAUUAUGUAAGUUUAGCUGAUUAAAGUUUAUGACUCUACACUACAAUAUUAUUAUUUAAAUUGACAUCAUUAUUAUAAUAUUUAGGGUCAGACUCUACAGUAUUGAGAUUAAGAAAUCAAAUAUUCUAUAAAAUGUAAAUACACUGAACUCAUUUGGGUAUAUUUAAGUGAGACUCUACAUUAUUAUUUGACACAAAUCUAUCUAAAUCAACAUUUUAAUCAUUUUUACUUCAAACAUUUACUGGACUGAUUUAAAUAUUAAAAUCACUCCUUUCUAAUCCUCUGCUGUACGUUCAAACCUGAGGCCUUAAAUAGAAACACACAAGUAUCUGAUUGAAGGAACUUCUGCAGAGUCCUGGUUCCAGAACAUGAUGAUAGAAUUAUAGACAAACUUUAACAAAAGCUGCCUGAGAGUUUACAGCUUUUUAUAUUAGAUUUCUUCAGUAAUUUAAUGAGUUAUCAGCAAAAAUCAAGUGUUCAUUUGAUGAACUUCAUUUCCUAAAACAUCCAGAAUUGAAGCUUAUAUCUUUGCAGCUGUAAAGUUUCUGCUCCUUCAAAGUUCACAACACAAUGAAUGAAUUCCUAAAACACUCUCAAUGCUGGAGAGCGUUUGUGAUGCUGAAGCAGUGACCAGUUUUUCUGUUUCUUCUCUGGAGAUGCACAAUGAGGGACGUCUGCAGCGACUGAGAAAGAGUCUCACCACAUCCUGACAUGAGGAAAAAGACUUUAUUGAAGACUACAAUGAUAAAAACUAUCAGACAGCAGACGGCUGCAUUCAAGUCUGUAGCUGCUGAAUUCAUGGAUGAAUCAUCUGGCACUAGAGAGGAAGACCAUCAAACAUCCACGUCAGCUGAUGGAGGUCCAAGAGUCUCACCCAACAAACAACCAACAGAGUGAAGACCUCCAAUCUGAUUGGACGGCCUCCUAUUCAGCCACAUGUGUGAACAAAUGCCUCUAAGCUGAUUUGUUUUCUAAAAUAAAUCUAGUUUGAGUCCUAAUCUAUGCCUGUGUUUGCUUCUUUACACUGCUGUUAACAGUUUAGGCUGUUAGAUUGUUCCAGAUAAGACAAGUACAAGAUUCUUCAGAGCCGUUCUACCACGAGCCUGACAGGAAGAACUCCAACAGCUACUGAAUGUUCCUGUGGUUCCCUCAAGGCUACAGGAGGAGCCCUACGAGGACGAGCCGGUCCACCUGAUGGCGGCCAGUCGCUGCGGUUCAAAGCCAACACCGACUACGUGGACUUCUACUGGACCACACGGAGGCCUUCAAACCGGACCAACAAGUUCAGCG
ensembl:lncRNA